CUCUGACCAUAAGCGACCACUUUCCUCUGCAACUAAAACAUGCCAGCACAUUCAGAGUCAUAUUUGACUUCAAAACAAAUGAACCCCAAAGAAUUACAGUUCCCCUCUAACACGAAAUUUUCCCCUCUGGAGACAAAAAGGUCUCCUUUCAUUAAACUAUCAGAGAGCUACUCACCAUUUCCCAGGUUAGGAAGAAGGUCACAAGCAGGUACUAUUAAUAAAUUAAUGAAUGUCAAAGAAGGCCGGGCAUGGUGGUUCACACCUGUAAUUCUAGCACCUUGGGAGGCCCCAAGUCAGGUGGAUCACUUGAGGUCAGGAGUUCAAGACUAGCCUGGCCAACAUGGUGAAACCCUGUCUCUAUUAAAAAUAUAAAAAUUAGCCGGGCAUGGUGGCAGGCACCUGUAAUCCCAGCUACUAGGGAGGCUGAGGCAAGAGGAUUGCUGGAACCUAGGAGGCGGAGGUUGCAGUGAGCCAAGACUGCGCCACUGCACUCCAGUCUGGGCGACAGAGCAAGACUCCGUCUCAAAAAACAAACAAACAAACAAGCAAACAAAAUAAUGAAUGUCAAAUAAUAGACAAACACACAGCUCUGCCCUAAACUUGCUGCUUGCCAUGUGGAUUAUAACCAAAAACAUUCCAGUUCAGAUAUCUCAUUAGGAAAAUAGAAUAUAAACACUUUCAUUUUUUGAUAAGAGUUUCAUUUGUUUGAUAAUAUCCAAGAAAAGGAUCAUGGUUUUAUGCAAGAUUCUACUAGAACAAAGCAUCUUUGCACACAUUAUAACAGUCCUGUGAGAUGGGCAAGACAAGGGUUACCAAGACCACUGAACAGGUAACGAGGCAAGGCACAGAGAGGCUCAGCACAGUGUCCGAUGGUACACAGAUAGUAAGCAGCAAAGCCAAGUCUGCGAGCAAAGUUUUCUGGCUGCUACUCCAGAACGAGCCGUAGGCUCCCUGCCAUGAUACCUCGGGGAUGCUGAGCCACACUGCCUGAAGAACACUGUUCAAGCCACACAGCAGCUCCUUCCUGAGGUGGCCUCUGACAGCUGGACUCUGCUCUCCUGCCUGCCACCCUUGGGCUGCUGCCCUUGGGAGUGCUGGGAGAUGGGCUCGGCAGUGCAGAGGCAGCAGCAGGAGGAAGAAGAGAACUUUCCCCCACUUUGGAGCUAGAAGGUGGGUCUUGAGCAUAAUGCUCAGAUAAGGGAAGAGUCCCAGGUAGUCUCGUACAUCUAUUUACCCAACUCCACUCACCUCCAUAGCAAUGCCUCCUGCCCUCCAACUCAUCAACUCAACACCAGCUGCCAGACUUUGUGCCAGGCACCAACCAGCAGAAACCAGUGAGGCCAGCAGCCCUCACGAAAGCUCACCAUGUGGUUAAGAAACCACCCGCUGGGUGAUGAGUUCUGCGUGCCAACAGCAUGUCACUGGAGUGUCAGUGACCAACUGACUUCAAAGUUGGGAAGGUCUGGGGGCUUCCUCAGGUAUGCACAUUUGUAUAAGAUUUCAAAGAAUAUCCCUGUAGAGCUUUUUGUUGUUGCUGAUGCAUAACAGAUGUACAUGUGAUAAUCACAAAGCACAUGUGAUAAUCAAUAUAUUCAUGCAAUUUGUAAAGAUCAGAUCAAUGUAUUUGGGAUAUCCAUCACCUUAAAUAUUUGUCUUUUCUUCAUGCUAGAAUCAUUCAAAUUCUUCUCUUCUAGCUAUUUUAAAAUAUACAAUAGGCUAUUAUGAACUACAGUUACCCUACUGAUCUACCUCACACUAGGGCAUAGAGCUCUGUGGAUUCAUUCAGAGAUUCAAAAACAUUAUCUGGGAAUUCUGCUUCUGGCCAAGAUGGAGUAACAAGAACCAGAUUUACCUUACCUACUGAAACAACCAAAUAGAUAAUAUAUAUAAAACAACAGUUUCAGGAAAUCAGUUAUGAGGCAACAGAGGAUAGUGACAUCCGAGAAACAGGCGACAAAUGAAGAGAACCCUACAACUGCUCCAACUUACUGCCUUGAUGGCGUUCCCACUGUGGCUCAGGGAGGGGAAAUCCAGGCAGAGCCCAGCAGACUCUCCCAGUUGAGGAGAUGGAGCUAAGAGUCCAAGGAGACCAAGAAGCCAUAGUUUGCAAGACAGAAUACUGCAGAUGAGAGGAGCUAUCUAGAGAGGGGACUCCAGAGAUCUGCAGAGGCCCCCCCAAGUAUACAGCAGGGUACGGGUCAUCACAUGCAUGUGAGUAAACUACCCAGUGCCAGAGAAAGAACUACCAGAAAGGAUGGGAAGGAACAGUACCCAACAUUCACACAGAGCAGGGAAUGGUACCUCUUCUUACCAGCUAGACUGAAAAACUUCAUAAUUCACAGGGUAUUGAGUAGAGUAUACAAAAGGACCUGCGUCAGUAGUGGGACACUAUUAACCCUAAAGAAAAUAACAGCUUGCUUGCUUAAAAGCAAAACCUGAAAGAAUCAAGCUGUUCUCAAGUAACUUCACUGUACCCCAGAACAAAGCUCAAGAAUAUAUAUACGGGGCCAGGUGCAGUGGCUCACGCCUGUAAUCCCAGCAAUUUGGAAGGCCGAGGUGGGUGGAUCACCUGAGGUCAGAAGUUUGAGACCAGCCUGACCAACAUGGUGAAACCCUGUCUCUAUUAAAAUAUAAAAAUUAGCCAUGCAUGGUGGCGGGCACCUGUAAUUUUAGCUACUCGGUAGGCUGAGGCAGGAGAAUCACUUGAACCCAGGAGGUGGAGGUUGCAAUGAGCCGAGAUCAUGCCACUGCACUCCAGCCUGGGCAACAAGAGAGAAAUCCGUCUCAGAAAAAAAAAAAAAAAGAAUAUGUAUAGGGAAUCUAAAAUAUCCAGCAUUCAACAAAGUAAAAUUCAUGUCUGGCAUCCAGUAAAAAAUUAUCAGACAUAUAAGGAAGCAGGAAAAUAGGACACAUAAUGAGAAUAAUCAAUCAAGCCACACUGACCCAGA
rnacentral:lncRNA from 1 species